GAAAUGCGAUAAGUAAUGUGAAUUGCAGAAUUCAGUGAAUCAUCGAAUCUUUGAACGCACAUUGCGCUCCCUGGUAUUCCGGGGAGCAUGCCUGUUCGAGCGUCAUUACAACCCUCAAGCUUUGCUUGGUAUUGGACACUGCCUUUGCUGGCAGGUCUUAAAAUCAGUGGCGGUGCCAUCUGGCUUCAAGCGUAGUAAUUCUUCUCGCUUUGGAGAUCCAGGUGGUUACUUGCCAAUAACCCCCAAUUUUUUCAGGUUGACCUCGGAUCAGGUAGGGAUACCCGCUGAACUUAA
rnacentral:misc_RNA from 1 species